GCAGACGAGAAGGAAUUGGGUAGAUUAGUGAAAUCCUUUAUUCCUGCUGAUUUUUUUUUCUUUUUAAGACGAGGUCUUGCUCUUUUAUUCAGGCUGGAGUGCAGUGGUGUGAGCACAGCUCACUGCAGCCUCAAACUCCUGGGCUCAAGUGCUGCUCCUGCCUCAGCCUCCUGCAAAGCUGGAACUACAGAGGCAGCACUCAAGCUCUGAUUCUCACUGUUGCCCAGCGUCAGUUGUUUAGCAGACAUGAUUUAGAUUGCUACAACCCGUUUUUGUGGUGUGUUUAAUGGAAGUACAAGAUUAAAACUGGCAAGCUGACUGCAUGUUACAUUUCCAAAGCUUAUAAAUGGUUUGAAUCCAGAAUGUCUGUGGCCCUUUCCAAGAAUAUUUGGUUUCUCUAAAAAGCAACAGCUGUUGGGAAAUGGAUGUAAAGUUUUUUGGCUUUUUUGUUUGUUUGUUUUUCAGGAGGAGAAAAGCCAUUGGCUUUUACUAUAGUGUGUACAGCAUUUUGUUUAAUGCUUUUAUUCCGUUGGGGAAUUUGCCUGUUUGAUAAGAGAUGAAACAACAGGGACUUAGUAAAAUAUAAAAACUCAUGAUGUUAAAAAUCAGCAAAUUGAAUGCUACUUUAAAAAGUCACACAAGAAAAGAAUCUUUUUCUAAAAAAAUACCUCUUGCUAAGUAGAAAUUUUUUUCUGUAAGAGUAGUAUAAAAUUAAAAAUUUUACUUUCCAC
rnacentral:lncRNA from 1 species